GACGAAGGGGGCAAGCGUUGUUCGGAAUUACUGGGCGUAAAGGGCGCGUAGGCGGUUCUUUAAGUCAGGCGUGAAAGCCCUGGGCUCAACCUGGGAGUGGCGCUUGAUACUGGAGGACUAGAGAGUGGGAGAGGUUGGUGGAAUUCCCAGUGUAGAGGUGAAAUUCGUAGAUAUUGGGAAGAACACCGGUGGCGAAGGCGGCCUUCUGGACAGUGACUGACGCUGAGACGCGAAAGCGUGGGGAGCAAACAGG
rnacentral:rRNA from 1 species